CCUACGGGAGGCAGCAGUGGGGAAUAUUGCGCAAUGGGCGAAAGCCUGACGCAGCGACGCCGCGUGAGGGAUGAAGGUCUUCGGAUCGUAAACCUCUGUCAGCAGGGAAGAACGGUCACUGUGCUAAUCAGCAGUGAAUUGACGGUACCUGCAAAGGAAGCACCGGCUAACUCCGUGCCAGCAGCCGCGGUAAUACGGAGGGUGCGUGCGUUAAUCGGAUUUACUGGGCGUAAAGCGCUCGUAGGCGGUAUGUCAAGUCAAGGGUGAAAUCCCCGCGCUCAACGUGGGAAUUGCCUUUGAAACUGGAAAACUUGAGUGUGUGAGAGGAUGGUGGAAUUCCAGGUGUAGGAGUGAAAUCCGUAGAUAUCUGGAGGAACAUCAGUGGCGAAGGCGACUAUCUGGCACAUAACUGACGCUGAGGAGCGAAAGCGUGGGUAGCAAACAGGAUUAGAUACCCGAGUAGUC
rnacentral:rRNA from 1 species